UACGUAGGGUGCAAGCGUUGUCCGGAAUUAUUGGGCGUAAAGAGCUCGUAGGCGGUCAGUCGCGUCUGCUGUGAAAACUCGGGGCUUAACUCCGGGCCUGCAGUGGGUACGGGCUGACUAGAGUGCGGUAGGGGAGACUGGAAUUCCUGGUGUAGCGGUGAAAUGCGCAGAUAUCAGGAGGAACACCGGUGGCGAAGGCGGGUCUCUGGGCAUUAACUGACGCUGAGGAGCGAAAGCAUGGGGAGCGAACAGG
rnacentral:rRNA from 1 species